UGACUUGAGAUUCCUACUUGG
rnacentral:miRNA from 1 species